rnacentral:rRNA from 1 species
UUAUUUGAGAGUUUGAUCCUGGCUCAGGAUGAACGCUGGCGGCGUGCCUAACACAUGCAAGUUGAGCGAUUUACUUCGGUAAAGAGCGGCGGACGGGUGAGUAACGCGUGGGUAACCUACCCUGUACACACGGAUAACAUACCGAAAGGUAUGCUAAUACGGGAUAAUAUAUUUGAGAGGCAUCUCUUGAAUAUCAAAGGUGAGCCAGUACAGGAUGGACCCGCGUCUGAUUAGCUAGUUGGUAAGGUAACGGCUUACCAAGGCGACGAUCAGUAGCCGACCUGAGAGGGUGAUCGGCCACAUUGGAACUGAGACACGGUCCAAACUCCUACGGGAGGCAGCAGUGGGGAAUAUUGCACAAUGGGCGAAAGCCUGAUGCAGCAACGCCGCGUGAGUGAUGAAGGCCUUCGGGUCGUAAAACUCUGUCCUCAAGGAAGAUAAUGACGGUACUUGAGGAGGAAGCCCCGGCUAACUACGUGCCAGCAGCCGCGGUAAUACGUAGGGGGCUAGCGUUAUCCGGAUUUACUGGGCGUAAAGGGUGCGUAGGCGGUCUUUCAAGUCAGGAGUGAAAGGCUACGGCUCAACCGUAGUAAGCUCUUGAAACUGGGAGACUUGAGUGCAGGAGAGGAGAGUGGAAUUCCUAGUGUAGCGGUGAAAUGCGUAGAUAUUAGGAGGAACACCAGUUGCGAAGGCGGCUCUCUGGACUGUAACUGACGCUGAGGCACGAAAGCGUGGGGAGCAAACAGGAUUAGAUACCCUGGUAGUCCACGCUGUAAACGAUGAGUAC